UCGGGGUAUAGUUAAGUACGUUUAUAAGAACUAAAUGGCAUAGUUAAUUUUCAAAAAAAAAUUUUUUUUUUUUUAAAAAGUAAUUAAAUGUAGCAUGUAGCGUUGUUGUAAUACAGGCAUUACAUUUAACUCAACCAAACAAUUGAAAUCUGUGACAUAUCAAUGCCAUUUCGAACAUUGAUCGACCGAGAUUGUACUUAACUUACUUAAGUUUAGUAGCAAAUGUAUGAACUCAUUCUAAACACUAAUCAAUAUGUAAACCGACCCUAAGGCAAGUGUACACGCUUGUAGAGGCCUUAUAGGAAAAAAAUAAAUUAUUGAUUAUCUCCGAAAUGGAGUUAAUUAGAAUAUCGGUGUCUUUGAGAAAGUUAGGUACUUGAUUUAAGCUCAGGAAUGCACCCUUGAAA